AGGCCAGCCGGGGCGGCGACUCCAUGGGGUCGGGAUUCUCACGCUUGGCCGCUCUUACUGACCUGGGCUCUGAAGCCCUGGUGGAACCCUUCAUCCUCUGCCUGGCUCGCUUUGCAGGGCAGCCUGAAACUGGAGGUGGAAGGCUGAGACCCCAGCCCAGGAGAAAUGCACCCCUGCUUUGCACCUUCGCAUGCCAGUGCCUUCCGGCGUCAUUGAAGCAGCACUGACUUGAUAUUCGGUCACGCCGGUCCUGGACACAGAUGAGAGACACGGGAAGGCGAGACAUUGCACCGUCUGUCUUCUUCCAGCUUCAACAAUGAGCCUUCAUGGAGUGCAGCAGGCCCGUGCCUUGAUUUGGGAAUUCUGGCCUCCAGAGCUGACACAGGAUCCAUUUCUGUUGUUUUCAACCACCCAGUUCAUGGGAAAUUUGUUACCAGCAGCUUCGGGAAACUGAUACAAAUCCCUUGAGUUGUCUUCCUAAGGCAUCUAAAGGAAGAUGUUGGGGCGCCUGGGUGGCUCAGUGGGUUAAGCCGCUGCCUUCGGCUCAGGUCAUGAUCUCAGGGUCCUGGGAUCGAGUCCCACAUCGGGCUCUCUGCUCAGCAGGGAGCCUGCUUCCCUCUCUCUCUCUCUGCCUGCCUCUCCAUCUACUUGUGAUUUCU